AGAUGUGAGGGCCAUCUAGCUGCAACAUCUGUCACCCCAUUAAUCGCCAGGGUUGAUUCGGCUGAUCUGGCUGGCUAGGCAGGCGUCCCCUUCCUCUAUCACAUCUCCAUGUGCGUCCCUCCCGAAGUUGUGCACUUGGUCGAGGAGAACCACCUUCCCGGAAUAGAGGAGGACCAGUCUUUGGUCAAGGGUAUAUGAGUAGCUGCGCUCCCUGCUAGAACCUCCAAACAAGCUCUCAAGGAGUUCAUUUCUGACUUUGCCCACUUCCAAAGGCAACAAGGUCAGAGCAAUAGCACUAUUUAAAGAGCUAUAAAAGCCAAUUCCCAGGGUAUAACUCUCAGCCUUUUU
rnacentral:snRNA from 1 species